rnacentral:rRNA from 1 species
GAUGAACGCUGGCGGCGUGCUUAACACAUGCAAGUCGAACGGGAUCCAUCAGGCUUUGCUUGGUGGUGAGAGUGGCGAACGGGUGAGUAAUGCGUGACCGACCUGCCCCAUACACCGGAAUAGCUCCUGGAAACGGGUGGUAAUGCCGGAUGCUCCAGUUGAUCGCAUGGUCUUCUGGGAAAGCUUUCGCGGUAUGGGAUGGGGUCGCGUCCUAUCAGCUUGACGGCGGGGUAACGGCCCACCGUGGCUUCGACGGGUAGCCGGCCUGAGAGGGCGACCGGCCACAUUGGGACUGAGAUACGGCCCAGACUCCUACGGGAGGCAGCAGUGGGGAAUAUUGCACAAUGGGCGCAAGCCUGAUGCAGCGACGCCGCGUGAGGGAUGGAGGCCUUCGGGUUGUAAACCUCUUUUAUCGGGGAGCAAGCGAGAGUGAGU